rnacentral:ncRNA from 2 species
AUAAACAUGUCAACGUCAGGUGCCGGCUCGAAAGAGCAGGAGAAUCGGGAAUCCGGCGCAAAUCCGGAACGUGCCCAACGCUGUAAGGCGGAUGCCUGGCCGCACAGGUUCCCCGUAUGAGGGGCCGGCCACUGGUUCACGAAACCGGGAAGGCUGCGGCCGGCAGGUGAUGCCAAGUCAGAAGACCGGCCUGAUGCUGAUAGGUUUG